UCUCGUUCAUCAUUCAGUUCUUCCUCAGCGUCCGGAACAUCAUGUAGGUUUGAAAAGGUUCUGUCUUCAUGUCUUACUGGUGGAACGUUUAAGUUUCAGUUGGUAAUCUUGAAUCGGACACAAUCGGUGUUGCUCAUGGCGUUCCACAUGGAUGCAAUCUUGGUGCUGCAUUGAGUCUCCAUGACAUCUCUUAUCUUCCCAUUCCCAUGCUGAUGAUGCACAGUUAUGCAUUUCUGUUUCUUGUAGAGGAACAACUUAGUCAAACGCUGGUUCUUCAGGAACCUUUAAAUGUAAGUUCUGAUAAUUUGAGACAUUUUAUUUGUUCUCAGUCAUUCUGGGCCUGUUCUCUGGGAGUCUAACACCAAAAGAAUCCCAGAGAAAAUCAAGUGUCCUUAAAGCAACACACUGGUGUGAGUUUAUUUGAUUCAUCUAAACUGCUUUUUGCUUAUGUCUUUUAAGCACAUUGAGUUUAUGCUUGCUAUAAGCCUUCCUGGCUGGUUUUAUUUCAUUAUCUCACUGUUAUUCAUGAUUUUCCAUCUUAUGGAGCUUAUGUUAAAACCCGGGUUGACUGAUUUCAACCAUUAGAUUGGCUCCAUGUUUCCACUCAUCUUUAGGUGAUUUUCUGCGUCGUGGACAAAUGCAUGUUCCAAAUGUCCGCAGUGGCUUCUGGACCUUCUUCAUCUGACCUUAAAUAAAAACAAAAUGGCUGCGAGGUAUUCAAUAAAACAGUAAGUUGGAUCCUGAGGCGACUGAAAGCAAAGUUUAUAUUUGGUUUUGGCGAAAAUUGACCGUAGACUAUUUUAUUUUCCAGCUGAGUAACACCUGUAUCUCUCAGAAGCAGAGCAAAAACAAAUGCUAUAAAAGUAGAAAAAAUAACCGUAAACAUUGCCUCCAAAUUUUGAGAAAGAAAGAGAGAGGGAGGAAGAGAGAGAAGGGGGAUGGAGACAGAGAGAGAGGGGGGACUAAAGGCAGAGGGAGGGAGUCCUGCCUCCCUGCGCCUCUUGGCUUGCAGCUCAGCCAGUUUUGCGCGCACACGGAGCUUUGCGCAUCUGGUCGUGAUCAUCCGCAGCAGCAGCAACUCUUCCUGCUCAGAUGUGACUCGAUCAGACCUGGAGCAGAACUUCUUACUCUCGUCUGCAAACUUUUUCCAAACUUCUUGGAGGUUCUGGGACCUUCAGACCUCAGCAGCGCUCCUCUCUGACGCGCUCUGCCGGAUGGAUUGGUCGCUCUGGGUUUGAUCGGAUCUCGGUUCGGGCUCUCAGCGGCUCCUCUGGAUGUGAACAGCUCAGUAGAGCCCAGUCUGAGUGGCUACUUUCUGGGGACGCUGCAUGCUCGGAUCUGCUUGCUGUGAUCCUCCUCAGCGCUGCGUGUUUUCCGCUUCUUCUCCGUUUGCGUCAUGACUUCCAGCUAUGCGCAUGUAAUGGACAGGCAGGCCGCCAUCUCAAACCGCCUGGAGAGCCCGAUCACGGCGAACCUGGACAACCUGCAAGCCAAGAAGAACUUCUCUGUCAGCCACCUGCUGGACCUGGAGGAGGCCGGGGAGAUGGUGGGCAGCCAGGCCGAUGAAAGCGUCGGGGAGGCCGGGAGGAGCAUGCUGGAGUCCCCGGGGCUGACCAGUGGCAGCGACACCACCCAGCAGGAGAAUGAGCAGAUGAACACAGAGGAGAAGAAGAAGAGGAAGCAGCGCAGAAACAGGACCACCUUCAACAGCAGCCAGCUGCAGGCUCUGGAGAGAGUCUUCGAGAGGACGCAUUACCCCGACGCCUUCGUCAGAGAGGACCUGGCCCGCCGGGUCAACCUCACAGAGGCCAGGGUCCAGGUUUGGUUUCAGAACAGAAGAGCUAAGUUUCGCAGGAAUGAGCGAGCCAUGCUGGCCAGCAAAAACGCCUCGCUGCUCAAGUCUUACUCAGGAGAAGUAACGGCGGUGGAGCAGCCGAUCGUGCCGCGCCCUGCACCGCGACCCAACGACUACCUGUCCUGGGGCAGUGCUGCCCCCUACAGGGCCUUCAGCCAUGGUUCAAACACUCUGGGAGGGGUUUGGACUGAUGCAGAGCUGGGGGGGUGGACCUUCUGAGGCACUGACUUUAUCCCAAGCUGGCAUCAAAUGCCAAGAUGGACUUCAGACGCCAUGGCCACCUACCCACCCACCUGCUCCAACACCAACACGUCCCAGGGAAUGAACAUGGCCAACAGCAUCGCCAACCUGCGGCUCAAAGCCAAGGAGUACAGCUUGAACCAGGUGCCCACGGUCAACUG